UACGUAGGGGGCUAGCGUUGUCCGGAAUCAUUGGGCGUAAAGCGCGUGUAGGCGGUUCGGUACGUCCGCUGUGAAAGUCGGGGGCUCAACCCUCGGAUGCCGGUGGAUACUGUCGGACUAGAGUACGGAAGAGGCGAGUGGAAUUCCUGGUGUAGCGGUGAAAUGCGCAGAUAUCAGGAGGAACACCAAUUGCGAAGGCAGCUCGCUGGGACGUUACUGACGCUGAGACGCGAAAGCGUGGGGAGCAAACAGG
rnacentral:rRNA from 1 species